CCUACGGGAGGCAGCAGUGGGGAAUAUUGCACAAUGGGGGAAACCCUGAUGCAGCGACGCCGCGUGAGUGAAGAAGUAUUUCGGUAUGUAAAGCUCUAUCAGCAGGGAAGAAGAAAGACGGUACCUGACUAAGAAGCCCCGGCUAACUACGGGCCAGCAGCCGCGGUAAUCCGUAGGGGGCAAGCGUUAUCCGGAUUUACUGGGUGGAAAGGGAGCGUAGACGGUUGUGCAAGUCUGAAGUGAAAGCCCAGGGCUCAACCCUGGGACUGCUUUGGAGACUGUGGAGAUAGAGUGCUGGAGAGGUAAGUGGAAUUCCUAGUGUAGCGGUGAAAUGCGUAGAUAUUAGGAGGAACACCAGUGGCGAAGGCGGCUUACUGGACAGUAACUGACGUUGAGGCUCGAAAGCGUGGGGAGCAAACAGGAUUAGAUACCCCAGUAGUC
rnacentral:rRNA from 1 species